UACGUAGGGGGCAAGCGUUGUCCGGAAUCAUUGGCGUAAAGAGCGUGUAGGCGGCUCGGUAAGUCCGCUGUGAAAGUCCAGGGCUCAACCCUGGAAUGCCGGUGGAAACUGUCGAGCUAGAGUCCGGAAGAGGCGAGUGGAAUCCUGGUGUAGCGGUGAAAUGCGCAGAUAUCAGGAGGAACACCAAUGGCGAAGGCAGCUCGCUGGGACGGUACUGACGCUGAGACGCGAAAGCGUGGGGAGCAAACAGG
rnacentral:rRNA from 1 species